GGAUUCUCUUUAGGUACUCUAGCUAUUAGGUAUCUUGGGCUUCCAUUAUCCUCAAAGAAAUGGGGUAAGAUGGAGUGUCACCAAAGUGUGGAGAAGAUUACUGAGAGAGUAAAUAAUGCUUAUGCUAGCAAGCUCUCUUGUGCAGGAAGAUUACGAAUAGUUAAUGCUGUCUUCUUUUCAAUAUUUAACUUUCAGGAUGGAGUCUUCAUUUUACCUCAAACUGUGCUCAAGGCCGCGGAUAGAAAAUGCAAAGAUUUUAUAUGGGGAAGUAGUACUGAUCAGAGAAAGGCACAUUUGGUCCCAACGA
rnacentral:misc_RNA from 1 species